GGAAGUUUGCCCACAACUGUUAAAUUACUUUAGCCUCCACUACAAGAUGACUGGUUACUGAAAAUAAUCCCAGGGAAUGGUGCACAGGAGUCAUUCAAGAGUGUCCCGUUGGACCCGCAUAAGUUUUUGCAUCUAUAGCAUCAUUUGGGAAGGCACUUCACAGGUCCAAUGAUCACGGCAUAAGGAACAAGGUGUUUUUCGUUUGGCCCAUCUCCUAGAGGAUAUGAGUCUCUUUUCAGUGUAUACCUGAGGAACAAGUAUCUCCUGAUGAGUUGCCUGGUUUUAUGUGAAUUCCUUUGCUCACAUGCCCUGCUGACAUACUGAGGAAGGUUUUUUGAAGUAUGUUUCUCAGAUAAACUCAGGGAUUAUACCCCAGGAAUGUACCACAGGGCAGAUAAAACUAUCAUGAGGAAAGGAACAUUUCAGGUGCUUGUGCAAUUUAUUUUUUAACUGCACUGAGAUUAUCUUUACAGCUGCAUCUGCAGGAAUUUAUCAGCCUCCUUACAAUCUUCCUCCCUAUGUACUUAGUUGCCUCCUGAAAAAACACAUCACUUAUCAAUAAGGUGUACUCUUCCUCAGCUGCAGGAUUAUGAGCCUCUCCUUGAAAGCUGAAAGGAAUUUCUCCUGUUUCACCAAAACUGUGAAAAUUGUCAAAACAAGCAGAUAGAGAAUAACAAUGAAGGAAAAAAGUUUCUU
ensembl:lncRNA